rnacentral:rRNA from 1 species
GUCCCGUUCGACAGGAGUUUACGACCCGAAGAUCUUCAUCCUCCACGCGGCGUUGCGUCGUCAGGCUUGCGCCCAUUGCGAACAAUUCCCCACUGCUGCCUCCCGUAGGAGUCUGGGCCGUGUCUCAGUCCCAGUGUGUCCGUCCGCCCUCUCAGGCCGGAUACUGAUCGUUGCCUUGGUGAGCCAUUACCUC